rnacentral:rRNA from 1 species
CCUACGGGAGGCAGCAGUGAGGAAUAUUGGUCAAUGGCCGAGAGGCUGAACCAGCCAAGUCGCGUGAGGGAAGACGGCCCUACGGGUUGUAAACCUCUUUUGUCGGGGAACAAAGCGACCCACGUGUGGUUCUUUGAGAGUACCCGAAGAAAAAGCAUCGGCUAAAUCCGUGCCAGCAGCCGCGGUAAUACGGAGGAUGCGAGCGUUAUCCGGAUUUAUUGGGUUUAAAGGGUGCGCAGGCGGAGUUGCAAGUCAGCGGUGAAAUUGCGGGGCUCAACCCCGUCCUGCCGUGGAAACUGCAUCCCUUGAGUGCGCGGGAAGUAGGCGGAAUGCGGGGUGUAGCGGUGAAAUGCAUAGAUAUCACGAAGAACUCCGAUUGCGAAGGCAGCAUACCGGCGCGCAACUGACGCUGAUGCACGAAAGCGCGGGUAUCGAACAGGAUUAGAUACCCGGGUAGUC